GUGCUCCCUUCAGCAGCACAUACACUAAACUUGGAAUGACACAGGGAAGAUUAGUAUGGCCCCUGUGCAAGGAUAUGGCACGCAAAUUCGUGAAGUCUAGUGGCUCUGA
ensembl:snRNA U6 U6 spliceosomal RNA